rnacentral:misc_RNA from 1 species
CCUCCUUUCUAAGGAUGAAUGAAAGUAAAAUUUCAUUCUAAAUAAUAUACAUCGGUAAUGUUGACCGUCCUCAUUUCUCUUCUUAAAGUAAUGUUUCCUUCUUGUAGGGCCGGUAGCUCAGUUGGUUAGAGCACACCCUUGAUAAGGGUGGGGUCGAAAGUUCGAGUCUUUCUCGGCCCACCAAAACUUAACUGGGGGAUUAGCUCAUCUGGGAGAGCGCCUGAUUUGCAUUCAGGAGGUAGCAGGUUCGAUCCCUGUAUCCUCCACCAGGAAACAUUUAGUUAUAAAAAUCGUAAAUAAUUUAAUAAUUAAUAUCAAUAUCUAUAUCCGAACAUUAAAAGUUAUUAUUUAAUGUUCAAAAUAAAAAUUUGAUCACAACAUAGAUAAAUCUUCUGUAAAAAGAAUUUUUUUCUGUGCAUAAAUCAAGCGUUUAAGGGCGUGUAGUGGAUGCCUCGGCACUGAAAGCCGAUGAAGGACGUGAUAUACUGCGAUAAGUUUCGGGGAGCUGUAUGUAAGUUUUGAUCCGAAAAUUCCGA